rnacentral:rRNA from 1 species
GACGAACGCUGGCGGCGUGCUUAACACAUGCAAGUCGAACGGUGAAGCGCCUUCCUUUUUGGUGGGUGUGGAUGAGUGGCGAACGGGUGAGUAACACGUGAGUAACCUGCCCCCUUCUUCUGGAUAACCGCAUGAAAGUGUGGCUAAUACGGGAUAUUCUGGGUCUGUCGCAUGAUGGGUCUGGGAAAGAUAUUGUUUCGGUGGGGGAUGGGCUCGCGGCCUAUCAGCUUGUUGGUGGGGUGAUGGCCUACCAAGGCGGUGACGGGUAGCCGGCCUGAGAGGGUGGACGGUCACACUGGGACUGAGACACGGACCAGACUCCGACGGGAGGCAGCAGUGGGGAAUAUUGCACAAUGGGCGCAAGCCUGAUGCAGCGACGCCGCGGGAGGGAUGGAGGCCUUCGGGUUGUGAACCUCUUUCGCCAGUGAAGCAGGCCUGCCUCGUUUGUGGGUGGGUUGACGGUAGCUGGAUAAGAAGCGCCGGCUAACUACGUG